UCAGUGCUGCAGCUAACGCAUUAAGUAAUCCGCCUGGGGAGUACGACCGCAAGGUUGAAACUCAAAAGAAUUGACGGGGGCCCGCACAAGCGGUGGAGCAUGUGGUUUAAUUCGAAGCUACGCGAAGAACCUUACCAGGUCUUGACAUCUUCUGACAGUCUAAGAGAUUAGAGGUUCCCUUCGGGGACAGAAUGACAGGUGGUGCAUGGUUGUCGUCAGCUCGUGUCGUGAGAUGUUGGGUUAAGUCCCGCAACGAGCGCAACCCUUAUCACUAGUUGCCAGCAUUAAGUUGGGCACUCUAGUGAGACUGCCGGUGACAAACCGGAGGAAGGUGGGGACGACGUCAAAUCAUCAUGCCCCUUAUGACCUGGGCUACACACGUGCUACAAUGGAUGGUACAACGAGUCGCGAGACCGCGAGGUUAAGCUAAUCUCUUAAAACCAUUCUCAGUUCGGACUGUAGGCUGCAACUCGCCUACACGAAGUCGGAAUCGCUAGUAAUC
rnacentral:rRNA from 1 species